AAUGAACGCUGGUGGCAGACCUAACACAUGCAAGUCGAACGAUUUAUAAAAACUUCGGUUUUUAUAAAGAGUGGCAAACGGGGUGAGUAAUGCAUGGGAGUACUACCUAGAAGUUUAGGGUAGUAACUAUUAGUAAAUAAGUAGCUAAUAACCGAACUACACCCCGACGGGGGAAAAGGUUAGUACUUUUAGUUCUUCGUCUUUUAGUAUGAGCCCACUGUUAAAUUAAGUUAGUUGGUGGGAUAACAGCCUACCAAGACGAUGAUUAUAGCUGGUCUUAGAGGAUGAUCAGCCACACUGGAAUUGAGAUACGGUUCAGACUCCUACGGGAGGCAGCAGUGGGGGAAUAUUGGACAAUGGCGCAAGCCUGAUCCAGUCAUGCCACGUGAGUGAU
rnacentral:rRNA from 1 species